CAUGCUAGAGCACUUUUUCAAUGUGCCCUCCAACGACAAGGCAAUGACAUGAAUGUCAAUCCAUAUCAACUUUCGAUGCUAUUUACUGUGACUACCAUGGUGACCACGGGUAACAGGAAAUCAGGGUUCAAUUCCAUACAGGGACCCUGACAAACAGCUACCACAUGCAAGGAAGGCAG